UUCCGAUUUCAAUUCCAGAGGU
rnacentral:misc_RNA from 1 species